rnacentral:lncRNA from 1 species
GUUCAUAGACUAAAAGAAAAUGCCAUCUGGGAUCUUAGACACUGAAAUAUCCUGAAAGUUCACAGGGAACCAACACAUGAUCUUUUGGGAGAAUGCCUAUGCAUAGGCAUGUGACCAUCAGUGUAGCAGCAAAUGAGUUGGGCACAUAGAUUACAGCAAGAGUUUUACAGCGGUGUUCCUGCCAGCAUAUGCUUAUCACCCAAAUUCUGCGUUCCUCUGAUUUUCUGCACUUCAAAGGAGAGUAAGAAUGUCCUGCUGUGAAUGGGAGUGGCUGGUAGGAAGAGCAAGAGGUCAUUCUGACGCUACUCCAUCAGAGAAAUCCUGAGAGAUAUGUCUGCUUUGUAGCCUAGAGAUUUGGUACCCUUCAGACAGAGUCGAUACAUCUCCUCCAGAUGAGAAGACCUCUUUUGGAUGGUUACAAAUUUCUUGAAAUGGUUUGACUUGAAUGAUUGUUUCCACAUCCCUAGAGGUGAAGGAAGAACUUUUUUCUGGGAUGAAAAGGCAGGCAAGAGUGUUCUUCAGAGGGAUGAACAGAGUCAAGAUUUCCCUAACCAGACCAGUCUGGUUCAUCCUGGGUCAGAUAGGGGUUUGUUUUGAAAUGAGUUGGAAAGCUAUGGAAAACUUCAAUUUUCUACAGGAAAAAUACCCAUC